rnacentral:rRNA from 1 species
AACGAACGCUGGCGGCAUGCCUAACACAUGCAAGUCGAACGGGAUCCUAGCUUGCUAGGUGAGAGUGGCGGACGGGUGAGUAACACGUGGGAAUCUGCCUUUUGGUUCGGGAUAACCGCGGGAAACUGCGGCUAAUACCGGAUGCUCCCGAGAGGGAAAAGAUUUAUCGCCAGAAGAGGAGCCCGCGUCCGAUUAGGUAGUUGGUAGGGUAAUGGCCUACCGAGCCAACGAUCGGUAGCUGGUCUGAGAGGAUGAUCAGCCACACUGGGACUGAGAUACGGCCCAGACUCCUACGGGAGGCAGCAGUGGGGAAUAUUGGACAAUGGGGGCAACCCUGAUCCAGCAAUGCCGCGUGAGUGAUGAAGGCCUUAGGGUUGUAAAGCUCUUUUGCCAGGGAAGAUGAUGACUGUACCUGGAGAAUAAGCCCCGGCUAACUUCGUGCCAGCAGCCGCGGUAACAC